rnacentral:siRNA from 1 species
GAUACCGAAACGCCUGUUUCCGA